UGUACUACCGAUAACCGUUUGAGAGAGGGGAUGACACAGUAGGAUAAGCUAAGCACACUGUUGGUUAUGUGUGCCCAAGCAUUGAGGCAGUCAAAGUAGGCAAAUCCGCUUUGAUAAUGCUGGGAUGUGAUGGGGAGCGAAAUUUAGUAGCGAAGUAGCUGAUUUCACACUGUCAAGAAAAGUCUCUAUCGAGGUUAAAGGUACCCGUACCGCAAACCGACACAGGUGGGUGAGGAGAGUAUCCUAAGGCCAGCGAGAGAACUGUUGUUAAGGAACUCGGCAAAAUGACCCCGUAACUUAGGGAUAAGGGGUGCCACCAUCAGGUGGCCGCAGAGAAUAGGCCCAAGCGACUGUUUACCAAAAACAUAGGUUUCUGCUAAGUCGCAAGACGAUGUAUAGGAGCUGACGCCUGCCCGGUGCUGGAAGGUUAAGGGGA
rnacentral:rRNA from 1 species